CACAACGCCUGGGAAAAUUCCGGCCAGACGCGACCGGAACGCGCAGGCGCAACAGUGAGCCACCCGCGCACGCGCAAGGCGGCCCAGGGAAGUGUCGAGCACGCGCCAGAGAGCGGGCGGGAGGACGCUAUGGAACAGAGGUUAGCAGAGUUCCGGGAGGCCCGCAAACGGGCUGGGCUGGUGAGCCAGCCCUCCACGGCCAGCCAGGGCGAGCAGACCUCAGCAGCGAAGGCGGAGCCAGCGGCGGCGACCCCAAAGACAGCCACUGGCUGGCUGCGGCGCUUCCUGAAGCGGAAAGCAAGCCCUGCCAUUAUGCGGGCCCGGCCCAACCAGGCUCAGGAAGAAGCUCAGCAGCCUCCACAGAGUGCAGCGGUCCCUCUGCCUUCAUCUCGACACCAGUCUCUCCUGACUAACAUCACCUUCUUGAAGGUUCUUCUCUGGUUGGUCCUGCUGGGUCUGUUUGUAGAACUGGAAUUUGGCCUGGCUUAUUUUGUCCUGUCUAUGUUUUACUGGAUGUACGUAGGGACUCGGGGUCCCGAGGAGAAGAAAGAGGGGGAGAAGAGCGCUUACUCUGUGUUCAACCCUGGGUGUGAAGCCAUCCAGGGCACCCUGACUGCAGAGCAGCUGGAGCGGGAGUUACAGCUCAGACCCCCGCAGGGGAGGUAGGACCUGCCUCAGCUGGUCUUUGUAGCCUUGAGCAUGGACUCUGGAGAACAUUCUCCACUUUUCCCCUCAUCUGCUACAGUUUCAUAUUUGGACUCCUCUUUGAUUUAGGUGAAAUUUUCUAAAAGAUAUUCACUGUGGGACUGGUGCAUUUAUAAAGGCCAUAUAAGAAAAGCCAAAGGAGGAUAUUGGGCCCCCCAGUUUUAGAAUUACACAGGCUGUUGUGAGCCACCCAGUGAGGAUGCUGAGGAGAGAACUUGGAUCCUCUGGAAGAGCAGCAAGCUCUCCUAACUACUGAGCCAUCUCUCUAGCUCCUGAAGGCUAUCAUGGGAAUGGUACUCCAGGAACAGCAUUCGUCACAGUGCUGCCCUUUCUGAGGGUUCAGGCUGGGGAGCUUCUACCAAGGGCAUGCUCUAUCUUAACAUUACCCAGGCUGGCCUUGAAGUGAUUAUCCAGAUCCACACAGCUAGCACUCAGGUGUGUGUCCUUACAUCCAACUUGCUGUCUUUGUUCUUAUGCUAAUAACAUUUCUUAGUAAUUAUUUAUUACCAGUAUGAUUUCAUAGUUUCCUGUCAUAGUUUUUGGAGCUGGAGUUCUCUAUGCUUGGUGGGGACAAUGGUCACUGUUUGUACCACAUGAUAGAGGUGGUGAGCACCUGGGAGAGUAUCCUGCCCUAUUUUGUGUGCAUUUCCAUCUUAGCACUGAAGAUUCCUGCAGAGUGUAGAGCAGUGUGUGAGUGAUCCUAGCUGGUUCCGUGGAUGUUUCAGUCCACUGUCUGAGGAAACACUGUUGUAUUGCUAUGAAGAAAGACCAUGACUAAGACAACUUUUCUAAAAGAAAGUACUUAUUGGGGGCUUGCUUACAGUUUCAUAAACUUAGUCCAUUACAUUAUGGCUGAAAGCAUGGCAGCAAGUGGGCAUGUUGCUGGAGAGGUGGCUGAGAGCUACAUUUUGAUCCAUAAGAAGAGACAUAUUUACUCCAAGGCCAGCACCUUGAUCCAUCUUUUUCUUUCAAAUAGCGCUAUUCCCUAGUGACUAAGCAUUCAAAUAUAUGAACCUGUUGUACCAUUCUUAUUCAAACCACCACAGCACCUAAUUGUGGCAAUUUUCUGUAAUAAAAUUUAAAAUAGAUAGCAAAAAUAAUUUAGUAAAUAUGCAGACUUGUUGAGAUGAAACAGUUCAUUACUAAAUGAUUUGGGCCAAGGAAGAAAUCAAGGAAAAAAUAAACAACAUCCUGAAACUAAAUGAAAACGAAAGCAACAAAAUCUUUGAGGUAUAUGAAAAUUGUUCCAUAGCUUUAACAACAAACAUUUAAAAUCAGACAAAACAUGACUUAAUGGAAAACUAGGUGUCUCCAUGCAGAAGGAUGAAACUUGACAAGUGUUUAUCACCCUGGACAAAAAAUAACUGCAAAGGAGAAUAUCAAUACGAUUGACAAACCCUUAUCCAAACUAAUCAAAAGGCGGAGAGAGAACAUCCAAAUUAACAAAAUCAUAAAUGAAAAGGGGGACAUAACAACAUAUACUGAGGAAAUUCAGAGAAUCAUUAGGUCUUACUACAAAAACCUGUACUCCACAAAAUUGGAAAAUAUAAAAUAAAUUGACAAUUUUUUAGAUAGAUACCAUAUACCAAAAUUAAAUCAAGACCAGGUGAGCAAUUUAAAUAGACCUGUAAGCCACGAGAAGAGAAAGUGGGAAGUACACUUGAACUCAUUGGCACAAGGAACCACUUCCUAUAACCCCAGUAGCACAGACACUGAGAGAAACAAUUAAUAAAUGGGACCUCCUAAAACUGAAAAGCUUCUGUAAAGCAAAGGACACAGUCAACAAGACAAAAUGACAGCCUACAGAAUGGGAAAAGAUCUUCACUAACCCCACAUCAGACAGAGGUCUGAUCUCCAAAAUAUACAAAGAACUCAAGAAAUUGGAUACCAGAAGAUCAUAUAAUCCAAUAAAAGAAUGGAGUACAGACCUAAACAGAGAACUCUCAACAGAGGAAUCUAAAAUGGCUGAAAGACACUUAAGGAAAUAUUCACGAUCCUUAGUCAUCAGAAAUGAAAAUCAAAACAACUCUGAGAUUCCAUUUUACACCUGUAAGAAUGGCCAAGAUCAGAAACACUGAUGACAACUUAUGCUGGAGAGGUUGUGGGGAAAAGGGAACACUUCUGCAGUGCUGGUGGGAAUGCAAGAUGGUACAACCCCUUUGGAUGUCAGUGUGGCGAUUUCUCAGAAAAUUAGGAAACAACCUUCCUUAAGAUCCAGUAAUACCACUUUUGGGAAUAUAUCCAAAGGAUGCUCAAUCGUGUCACAAAGACAUGUGCUCAAUUAUGUUCAUAACAGCUUUGUUUGUCAUAGCCAGAACCUGCAAACAACCUAAAUGCCCCUUGACCAAAGACUGAAUAAGGAAAA